rnacentral:rRNA from 1 species
GCAAUCCGCAAGUAGAGUGGCGAACGGGUGAGUAAUAUAUCGGAACAUUUCCAGUAGCGGGGGAUAACCUGUCGAAAGAUAGGCUAAUACCGCAUACGCCCCACGGGGGAAAGCGGAGGACCGCAAGGCUUCGCACUAUUGGAGUGGCCGAUAUCGGAUUAGCUAGUUGGCGGGGUAAAAGCCCACCAAGGCGACGAUCCGUAGCUGGUCUGAGAGGACGAUCAGCCACACUGGAACUGAGACACGGUCCAGACUCCUACGGGAGGCAGCAGUGGGGAAUUUUGGACAAUGGGCGAAAGCCUGAUCCAGCCAUGCCGCGUGAGUGAAGAAGGCCUUCGGGUUGUAAAGCUCUUUCGGUGGGGAAGAAAAGGUACGUGCUAAUACCACGGACUAAUGACGGUACCCGAAGAAGAAGCACCGGCUAACUACGUGCCAGCAGCCGCGGUAAUACGUAGGGUGCGAGCGUUAAUCGGAAUUACUGGGCGUAAAGCGUGCGCAGGCGGUUUGUUAAGACAGAUGUGAAAUCCCCGGGCUUAACCUGGGAACUGCGUUUGUAACUGGCAAGCUAGAGUGUGGCAGAGGGGGGUAGAAUUCCAGGUGUAGCAGUGAAAUGCGUAGAUAUCUGGAGGAAUACCGAUGGCGAAGGCAGCCCCCUGGGUUAACACUGACGCUCAUGCACGAAAGCGUGGGGAGCAAACAGGAUUAGAUACCCUGGUAGUCCACGCCCUAAACUAUGUCAACUGGUUGUCGGGGGAGCAAUCCCUUGGUAACGAAGCUAACGCGUGAAGUUGACCGCCUGGGGAGUACGGCCGCAAGGUUAAAACUCAAAGGAAUUGACGGGGACCGCACAAGCGGUGGAUUAUGUGGAUUAAUUCGAUGCAACGCGAAAACCUUACCUACCCUUGACAUGUACGGAAGUCGCUAGAGAUAGCUUCGUGCUCGAAAGAGAGCCGUAACACAGUGCUGCAUGGCUGUCGU